UACAGAGGUCCCAAGCGUUGUUCGGAUUCAUUGGGCGUAAAGGGUGCGUAGGCGGCGCGGUAAGUCGGGUGUGAAAUCUCGGAGCUUAACUCCGAAACUGCAUUCGAUACUGCCGUGCUUGAGGACUGGAGAGGAGACUGGAAUUUACGGUGUAGCGGUGAAAUGCGUAGAGAUCGGAAAGAACACCAACGGCGAAAGCACUCUGCUGGGCCGACACUGACACUGAGAGACGAAAGCUAGGGGAGCGAAUGGG
rnacentral:rRNA from 1 species